GCCGGGUGUGGUGGCACACACCUGUAAUCCCAGAGGCUCAGGAGGCUGAGGCAGGAGAAUCACAAGUUCAAGGACAGCCUCAGCAACUUAGUGAGGUCUUGUGUCAA
rnacentral:sRNA from 1 species